GACGAACGCUGGCGGCGUGCUUAACACAUGCAAGUCGAACGGUGGCACUCUUCGGGCGGGCUCAGUCGCGAACGGGUGAGUAACACGUGGGCAACCUGCUCCCGACCCUGUGAUACCUCCAAGAAAUCGGGGCUAAUCCCGCAUGAUCACCGCAUACCGCCUGGGUGGUGGUGCAAAGGGUUUCCGGCUGGGGAUGGGCCCGCGGCCUAGCAGCCUGUUGGUGGGGUAGUGGCGUACCAAGGCGACGACGGGUAGCCGGCCUGAGAGGGUGACCGGCCACACUGGGACUGAGACACGGCCCAGACUACUACGGGAGGCAGCAGUGGGGAAUAUUGCGCAAUGGGCGGAAGCCUGACGCAGCGACGCCGCGUGGGGGAUGACGGCCUUCGGGUUGUAAACCUCUUUCAGCAGGGACGAAGCGCAAGUGACGGUACCUGCAGAAGAAGCACCGGCCAACUACGUG
rnacentral:rRNA from 1 species